CGUCAGGACGAGAUGUUGUCAUUUUGUCUUCUCUUCUGCCCGCAUAGAGAUACGGUGGCUAAAGGCGUUAUUAAAGUUGCUCAUCCAAGCGCCCUCAUGUUUGUUCGUACCAAUUUUAAUGGACGGGAAGCCGACUGACGAACAUCUUUUUCCCGAGAAAUGGUUCGGCUACGACACAUGUUAAGAAGUCACGCCAGGGGCUGAAUUAAGGUCGACCGUUUCAGCUGCAUUGAUGUGAAGUGAUGCAGUGGACAACUUGUGAGGGUGAUACCAUCCACAUGCACCUUAACUGUCUGUGAUGCAGAAAUACAAUAGGAUGAUCAAUCUGUCUACACUUCAAAAUCACAACUCAACCUUAAACAACCCAUAUCUGUUAUGGUAAAACAAUGUGGCGGUUUUCCAGACAGGGCUUAUACUGUUCCUGGGCUAAAAUGCAUGUUUGAGCUACUGUAAUUAAGAAAACACCUUGUACUGACACAUCUCAACAUAUAUCAUUGCCAUUGUUUUGUUUCAAGAUGCACACCAGUCUUGUUUUUGUAAGGUUUGUUUGUAAAAACUAAAAUGUUCUAAUAUAAGUGCCCAGUCCUGGUUUAAUCUAAACCAUUGGUGACCAAACCUGUGUCUUGAGAUCUACUGUCCUGCAGAGUUCAGCUCCAAUCCAAAUCAAACACACCUGAACCUGCCAAUCAAGCAUUUCAGGGGAACCUUAAAAUUAUAGUCAGGUGUGUUUGUUAAAGCUGGGUUAGAACUAAAAUAUGCAGGAGGGUAGAUCUCCAGGAACAGGGUUGGUCACCCCUGAUCUAAACAAAGGGUUUCCAAACUGUGUCCUGCAAAGUUUAGCUCUAACCCUAAUCAAACACACCUGAAGCAGCCAAUUAAGGUCUUACUAAGCAUACUAGAAACUUACUGGCAGGUGCUCCGAUGCAAGUUAGAGCUAAACUCUGCAGGACACCGGCCCUCCAGGACUGAGUUUGGGCACCCCUGACUAAGCCCUGCCUGGGAAACUGCACCAAUGUGUUGAGCUGGCACCAUUGGACAUUACUGCUGCUGAGAAACAACAACAUUUCUCAGCUCUACACAGGGUUGACAUUGGAUGCAUUAUUAUUAUAAAAUGCAUUCAUGUGCACUUUACCAAUACUGUACAUACAUCAACAGCUUCCAGCUAUGCACUCCUGAUGACUCUCAUAAUGCUGUGUUAUAAUUUAUUGCAGGGUGAUCUUGCUGAAAGGAUAUUUUUAUAAACCUUUACAAUGUGACCAGAUGUUACCUGUUGUGCAUAGUUAUUUUUAUAAACCUUUACAAUGUCGCCAGAUGUUACCUGUUGUGAAUAGUUAUUUUUAUAAACCUUUACAAUGUCACCAGAUGUUACCUGUUGUGAAAAGUUAUUUUUAUAAACCGUUACAAUGUCACCAGAUGUUACAUGUUGUGAAUGGUUAUUUUUAUAAACCUUUACAAUGUCACCAGAUGUUACAUGUUGUGAAUGGUUAUUUUUAUAAACCUUUACAAUGUCACCAGUUGUUACAUGUUGUGCAUAGUUAUUUUUAUAAACCUUUACAAUGUCACCAGAUGUUACCUGUUGUGAAAAGUUAUUUUUAUAAACCGUUACAAUGUCACCAGA